GAAGAAGAAGAAGUAGGAGGAAGCAGGAUAAAGAAGAAGAAGAAGAAGUAGGAGGAGGUGUGUGACACUCCGCUAUCGUCGCUCUCGGCAGACUGAAAACAACCCAAGUGUGUGUGUUGGUGCUCAUUAAAACCGCAGCCGUGCCACGCCGCGCCCCCACCCCCAGCGGCGCCGUCAUGUGGCAAGAGGCCCGCAAACAUGAGCGCAAGCUCCGCGGCAUGAUGGUAGAUUACAAACGCCGAGGAGAGCGACGGCGGGAGUACUACGAGAAGAUCAAAAAAGAUCCAGCUCAGUUUCUCCAGGUUCAUGGCCGAGCCUACAAGAUCCAUCUGGAUCCUGCCGUGGCGCUGGCUGCAGAGAGCCCCAUCAACAUGAUGCCCUGGCAGGGAGAUGCCAACAACAUGAUUGAUAGGUUUGAUGUACGGGCACAUCUGGACUACAUCCCCACCUACACUCCUCCCCUGCUCAGCACAUCAACCCCAGAGCAGGAAAUGGAGGAGAGAAAGUCCAAUUAUGAGCGAUACAGAGGCCUUGUGCAGAAUGACUUUGCCAACAUCUCUGAGGAGCAGUGUUUGUACCAGAUCUACCUGGAUGAGCUUUACGGUGGCUUGCAGAAACCAAAUGAGGACGAAAAGAAAAGACUGGCUGAAAAGAAGGCCUCCAUUGGUUACACCUACGAAGACAGCACGGUGACGGAGCCAGACCCCGAGUCCGACAAAGAUGAAGAGAAUUCAGAGAGCGAAUCCGAGGAGGAUGAAGGCAUCCCAGAUAUUGAUGUGGAGGUGGACGUUGAUGAGUUGAACGAAGAACAGGUGUUGGACGUGAACAAAAUGGCAACCCCGUACGGAAUGGCAGAAGGAGACUUUGUCAGGAUGUUGAGGAAAGACAAGGAGGAGGUGGAGGCCAUCAAACACGCCAAAGCGCUGGAGGCGGAGAAGGCCAUGUACUCGGGCCGGCGUUCUCGCAGACAAAGGAGAGAGUUCAGAGAGAAGAGACUGAAGGGUAGACAGAUCAGCCCACCAAGCUAUGCAAGGAGAGACAGCCCAACUUACGAUCCCUAUAAACGGCCAGAGAUGGAGUCGAGCUCAGAGUCUCGCUCGCGCUCUCGUUCUCCUGGUCCCGAGAAGAUCACCUUCAUCACCAGCUAUGGAGGCAGCGACGAUGAAGCAGUAGCAGCUGCAGCAGCGGCCGCAGCAGCCGCCACAGCCGCCGCCUCCGUAGCAGCAGCAGCAGCAGCAACACAAACGAGCGCUCCUCACUCUGGACACGUCUCCUCCAACUUGCAACACCCUGCAGGUCAUAGCAGGGGCUCCCGGAGACGAAGGUCCUCCUCCAGCCGCUCCCCUUCCUCCUCCUCCUCCAGCUCCUCAUCCCAGUCCACCUCUCGCUCUUCCUCCCGAUCGCGGCGUACCCGCCGGGGCCGCGGGGGGAGGGACGGCCGCCGAUCCCGGACCCGAUCCCGGUCGAGACGGCGUUCCACAUCUCACUCCCGGAGCAGAGGAGGCAACGGAGGGGCUGCUUCCUGGAAGAGACGAGACCGGACGCGGUCGAGGUCCGCCGACAGGGACCGAGAUAGAGAUAGAGAUCGAGAUAGAGAGCGAGAGAGGGAGCGAGAGAGGGACAGAGACCGAGACAGGCGACGAUACUCGGCGCGAAGACGGACGAGGUCCCGUUCCAGCUCGCGGCAGGGGGGCAGUUUGAGGCGAGGGGGCCGGAGCAGCGGAGGCCACCGGAGAGGAGACAGCGGCAGCCGCAGUCCGUCUCAGUCCCCUAGCCGCCUCAACCAAAGUCCCUCCCCUCCAAGUGGAGCCCUGCCUUCGACCAACACCGUCCGUGACAAGCUAAGAAAGCCUGAUACUCCGGGUGGUAAAGAGACGGGAGCUGCCAAAGUCACCCAAGAUGACCCCUCAGGAGCGGCUCAAGCUAAAAAUGCAGAAGGCACUCAACAAGCAGUCCAAGGCGGAUAAAAGAGCUGCUCAGGUGAAGAUCCAGCAGCAGGAAAACAAGCGACAGGAGAGGGAGGGAGAGCUGCGAGCCAUGGCACGCAAGAUACGCAUGAAGGAGCGCGAGAGACGGGAGAAGGAGAGGGAUGAAUGGGAGAGGCAGUACGGGCGACAGAGCCACUCGCCUUCCCCCUCCCCUUCCAAAUAUGGCCGAGAGCACAGCUCACACAGAAGGAGGUCUCGUUCCCGGUCCCGGUCCCGGUCUCGUUCCCGGUCCCGGUCUCGGAGUCCACACUACCGACACUGAUCCCUGGAAAACAUUGAUGCAUCUUAUAAAAAAAAAAAAUUAAAAAAAACCCACGUCAUUACAAAACCUUGUCAUUGGCACACAUGCUGUUAAACAAGCAGCGUGUAACAAUAUGAAGUGAAUGUGGCACAAGUCUUUACCUGAAUAAUAUGUCCUCUGGUAUGUGUUGUUGACGGAGUAUUCCUUUCAGACUGCGAGGCCGUUUAGUUUCACCAAUUUCACAGCCAAUUGGUUCUUCAUCUUAUAAAGAGACUUGAGGUUUAUUAAAUGAGUUUGUUUUUUUUCUUCUUCUGCAUGUUUUUUUUUCUUUUCCUGCCUGGCCGGCUCUUCUCUAUUUCAAAGUACAUAAUACUAAGCAAUAUCAUUUAUUUUUUUUAAUUCUUUUUUUUUCACCCCAUGUCUGCCUCUUCCAAGGUUCUCAACACUCAAAGACCGUUUUAAACAGUUUUCAUGAGCUGAUGUACAGGAUAUUUAUACACUGCAAUUUAAAACUUCUUUAUUAAAGAAAUUAAGUUAAUGUAUGAAUUCAAUCCAUCUCUCCCUGUUUUUAUACUCUGCUCUGCCAGCCAGUUAUCAGCAGCAAAUAUACUUUUCUUUUCAAUAAUGUCGAAUGUCCAAAUACAGAUAAAAAAUAAAGCAGAAUUUGAAAUGA